rnacentral:lncRNA from 1 species
ACCAAACGACCCAUAAUAUAUACCAACAGAGUACAAAUACAUAUAGGAAGCAACAAACCAAACGGCCCCUAAUACCAGCAAAUUACAAAUACAUGUAGCAAGAACCAAACUAAAAGCAGAAAUACAUCUCGUACAGGGCAAGCCAAAACGAGCAUAACACAACUAAAAGGAUUUGGCAUAAAUCGACUCUAAAAUCCUUUUACGUACUCUAAAAGGUUGACCUGAUAGUGAACACUAGUGGAAAAUAGGUUUUAACACAUCACCAAGCAAGACAAAAGCAUAUUAUUUUUGAACGAAACACACAUCACCAUGCAAGACACAAAACACAACGAACAUCAGCUGAAGGAUGGGAAUAGAUGUCUUCCUUUCCUCAGCAUGAAGCAUGCUGCCUUUCUCACGACUUCCUGAUCAUUACAAAAAAUAAAAGUUUAGGGUUUGUUGGGAAGAGUUUCAGGUCAUGUAAAUACGUUUCGAGGGUUGUUUUGUACCUGCUUUUUUUUUUAUUUGUCCUUAGGUUUGUUCUUAUCCGGAGUUUUGUCGUUAUUUGGUUUUUCGUUCUUCAAGUUUGUUGCCUUCUUCCUGUUGCCAAAUUUAUCAGCUUAAUGAAUAAAACAAUAACAUGCUAACUUCCUCUCAAAAAAUAAAAUUACAAAAAUAAAAGCUUGUACGUACUCAGGUUAAUUUGCUCCAAGGAGGGGGAAAAUAGCCUAGAGUACCAAAAAUAAGAAUAUAUAUAUAUAUAUAUAUAUAUAUAUAUAUAUAUAUAUAUAUAUAUAUAUAAAUAGGCUGGAAUACUAUUAAUAGCACCAAUGACUUGGUGCUAUUAAGUUUUCUGCCAUUGGAUUAAAAUAUGUGCGGUUAGGAUGAUAUGAGUNAAAUACCCCCACGUGGUUUCACUUUUUCUCACGUUAGUACCCUGUGAUUUAAAGUGUAUCAAAUUAGUACUCUGUGGUUCUUCUCUUUUUAUUAUCCAUUUCACUAAUUUUUUUCGUUAAAUCAGUAACAAAGUUAAAAUUAAACGGUACUAAAGUGAAUAUUCGAUAAACCUAGGUAUAGUAUCUGAAGUUUUUUGUAUAUUACUUAACGAAAUAUUAACGGAGGAAAAAAAAAAUAGUGACAAAGUUAAAACUAAAGGGUACUAAUGUAAAUAUUCGAUAAAUUUAGGUAGGUUAUUUGAAAUUUUUUGUAUAUAAUUUAACAAAAUAUUAACAGUGGAGCCGGCGAAAAGAGAAAAAUGAAACCACAGAGUACUAAAUUGAUACACUUUACAUGGUACUAACGUGAGAAAGUGCGAAACCACAUGAUACCAAAUUAAUAUACUUCAACCUAUAGGGUACUAAAGUAAAAAGCGCAAAACCACAGGGGCGGUAUUUGAAAUUUUUCAUAUAUAUAUAUAUAUAUAUACAUAUAUAUAUAUAUAUAUAUAUAUAUAUGCACUAUUUUUAGGCCAUUACAGGGUCCUGUUUUGUCAUCAAAUUUUAAAAUGAUCUCCUCUACCUACAAGGCCAUUUAUUUAUUUUAUCAUAAGAAAAUGACUUAGUGGUCAUAUUUUACUGCACCAUUCUCUACCGAAUAAAUUGCACUAUUACCCCCUAAACUUUUGACGAAGUUUUAUUUUACCCUCAAGCUUCUAAAAUAGACAUUUAACACUCUAAACUCUAAUAUUUUAUUCAUGUUACCCUUCCGUCGGUUUACCAUCAAGCUCCGUUAAUCAAAAAUUGACAAAAGGAGUAAUAUGAAUGAAAUAUUAGAGUUUAAGAUGUUAAAUGCCUAUUUUAUAAAUUUGGGGGGUAAAGUGAAACUCCACCAAAAGUUUAGGAGGGUAACAAUAUAAUUUAGCCUAUUUUUUUUUAAAAAAAAUAAACCAUAGCACAAAUUACCCUAUAUUUUAUUGUAUAAAAGAAAAGAAAAAUAAAUUAGGGUGGCUUAAAAAUAAGAAAAGAGAGACACUAACUAGCUAGCUACAAUGUUCGAAUACACUACUCUCCCGAUGUACUUGCUAAUAUAGUUGAUUUUACAAUAAGUAUCUUCACUCGAAUAUAGAAAUUUUAAUUUUUAGUUAAUUCCCUAUAGUACUCAUCAUUUCUCGCCUGUAUCUCUAGAGGCAUUGUUUUAGUGAAUGCACUUACUCUCUAUGAAAUUAUGCAACGUAAUUUUAUUAUAAUCUAAAAUCAAAAUUUUAUAUAUCUUUUUAACCAAUUAGAAAUUUUGAUUAUAAAAAUAUAAUAUUAUUUUAUAAUAAAUUAAAAUUUUUUAAAUAAAAUUAGUGAUAUUAGAUUAAGAGAUGCUGAAUAUCAUCUCAUCCUUCGGAUAUCAAUGGCACACGCUGUGUAGGCGAUCUAAUCCAUUUAUUUUAUUUUUAUUUUUUUAAUAUUUUUCUUGAAACUAUCCUAUUAAUAUAAGCAAAUGUUUUUUUUGUAAAAUUUUUUUUUUCAACAACCAAAUAUUUCUAUUGCCCUCUAAACUUUUAGUAGAGUUCCACUUUACCCGCUGUGUAGAGUUCCACUUUAUAAUAUAUUAGUUUAAAUUCAAACUGAAAAUUAAAUAUUAAAAAUUUACGUCAAAAUUUUAAAAUAAUGUCAAAAUUUAAAUAUAUAUUUUUAAAAAAUUAAAAUUUGAAAUUGAAUGGAUAAUUCAAAAUACAAAACUAAAUUUCAAUUUAUUCAAAUUUAAACUUAAAAUUAUAAUUUAAAUUUCAAUUUGAAGGCAUAAAUUUAAUUUAAAUUUUAGAUAAAAUUUGAAUAAAACUUUAUAUUUUAAUUUAAAUUUAAAUUUAUAAAUUAGAUUCAAAAUGCUUAAUUGAAUUUUAAUUUUUAAUUUAAGUUCAAAUGAAAAAGAAAAUUUAUAAAUAUAAUUUUUAAACUUAAAUUUAUGUUUUAAUUAAAAAAUAAGCUUAAAAAAGUUAAAUUUAAUCCGAAUAAUUCAUUCUGCUCGGAUUCAAUUUUCAAUCUGGCUUUUUAGGUCGAAUUGAGAAAAAGGGUAAAUGGGGGGAUUCCUAUUCACCUAGGAAUCGGAAUGGAAAUCCCGCAUACCAAACACGAACAAACGAUUCGUCCAUUCUGAUUCCGAUUUCAAGGUGAAAAAUGGGCGAACCAAACACGCCCUAAACUCUAAUAUUUCAUUCAUGUUACCCCUUUCAUCAAUUUUCGGCUAACGGAGUUUGACGGAAAACUGGCCAAAUGGGUAAUACGAAUGAAAUAUUAGAGUUUAGAAUAUUAAAUGUCUAUUUUAGAAGUUUGGGAGUAAAGUGAAACUUCGCCAAAAGUUUAGAAGGUAACGCACUACAACAAAAACGGUUUAUAGCGACACUUUUAAAUGUCGGUAUAGGUAAAAAAAAGUGCUGCUAGCUAAAUUACCGACACUUUAAAAAGUGUUGUUAUAUGUGGGGUCGCUAGGUAUAUAGUGACAGUUAAAGAGUGUCGCUAUAACCUAAAAAGAGUGCUGCUAAUUUACCAACACUUAUUUAAGCAUUUAGCAACCGUCGGAACUAUAUCACGUUGGCUGCGGUGGCGGAGGAGGAGAAGAGGGAAAGGCUCUUCGUCUAGAAUUUCAGUGGAUUGAGUGAGGGGAGAAGGGAAGAUGGUAAUCGAAUUUUUUUUUUUUUUUCUUUUCUGUUUGUAAUCGGGCUGAAUGGGCUGGGUGAGGUGGGUUGAGUAGAAUAAUAUUUUAUUUUUUGUUGGAUUGGGUUUUAUAUUUAGGCAUUAAUAGAUUUUUUUUAAGUUUUGGCAUAAAUGGACACUUACACAAAAAUGUUUCGAACAUGUGUUUCUAUAACCUAAUUUUGUUGUAGUGACGGUACAAUUUACUCCUAUAUAUGAUCGAAUUAUUCUCCUUAUAAAUCAAUUGCCACAUGACUUCUAAUAAACAAAAGAGAGAUAUACUAAACAAGAUAUUCACAUAUUCAAACUUAUUCAGUAUAUCACUUUUGCACUCAAGGACUCACAACAAUUUGUAAAUAAAGAGUAGAUCAUUAAUUACCUACAAGAGCACAGUGUAUACGUACCGUUCUUCAGACGAAUCCGGUUUGUUGUCACCUUGAGCUUGGUUUUCAGAACGGGGAGUGGAUGAAUUGGCGGGAUGAAGCUUCGAAGAAGUGGUUGGAGUUGUGCGUGAGGUUGAGUUGGCUACAGUCAUGGAUGAUGAGGCCAGGGUUGAUAGAGUGGACAAGCAUGCGGUAGAUGAGGAAGAGACAAGCAAGGAAGCGACGGCAGCGGACGAGGAUGUCACUUCAGCUGGAUGAAAGCAGAAAUCUCAACUAAAUCAGUAAUAAAGUCUCCAGAAAUCCUACUAAAAUUUCUUAAGAGAAGUUUUUUAUUUUUAUUUUGAAGAAUUGGAAGGUAUGUUUGAUGUUGAGGAUUCAAGCAGUAAUAGGUAAAAGAGAACCAUUGCCACCGCAAAUAUUAUCACUACAACAAUUUAUAUAUAAAUUGAAUCGCGAGUUUUACUGUGGCCGACGUGGCCGCUUCUCCGCACUCGCGAGGAAGAGAGGAAGAGAGAAAGGGAAAAGAGAGAGANUUGUAACGACCCAGCCAACUAGCAAUAAUAACUUGUUGGGCCCAACCACAGCCCAAAAUGCUUAAGCCUAGUUAUUAUUACUAGUGUCUAAGUCACUUAUAAACCCAAUGACAACCCCAUUCCCAUCCGAUGUGGGACUAUUGGGGUGUCACAGACUCCCCCUGUUAAGGCCCUGACGUCCUCGUCAGUCCAAUCACACACACAGCCCAAGAUUACCAGGCGAUGUGAGACUCGUCUCGCUAGCCCGUCAGCCAGACCCUGGCUCAGCCGAGACUCGCCACACAUGUCCAGCUGGUGAACCGGCUCUGAUACCAAAUGUAACGACCCAGCCAACUAGCAAUAAUAACUUGUUGGGCCCAACCACAGCCCAAAAUGCUUAAGCCUAGUUAUUAUUAUUAGUGUCUAAGUCAUUUAUAAACCCAAUGACAACUCCAUUCCCAUCCGAUGUGGGACUAUUGGGGUGUCACAUGGAUUGAAUUGUUUUGCACCAUUCAAAGCACCAUUUAUUCUUCUGUAGCCACAACUGAAUCAUAAUGUGUAGGAAUAAUGAUUUAAGUUUGAGAGAUUUUAAGAACAGUACAAAAUUUUCAAAUAUCACACUAUGAGGUUAAUAUUCCACGUAUUAAUUUUUUUUUUUUUUUUGAGAGACGCUACCCACUUCGUUUAUUUCAUUUAGAAAUAAACUUAGCUAGAAAUGUGAAUCAACUAGGAUUCGAACUUGGAUCUCGGGUACCAACCACCAAACCCUUUGCUGCUUGCUCUAGGGACGGUCGGUAUGCUUGCUAUGGUCUUUGAAACAUAAUUUUGGGUCAUCAAUGUGUUUUAGUUAGUGUGUGCAUGUGGGCAUUUAGCAAGUACUCAGUAGUGUUAUAUCAAGAAAAUGAAAAAUUACUCAAAACAAGUGUUGAGUUUUCGUAGGCUAUCUUUAACUUGGUUUUGCAGGCCUAUCAUGUUCGAUAUUUAAUCUAUACUGACACAAAAGUUUUUGUCAUGUUAGCUUCAAUUGGAGGGUAUUAACAUUUAACAAGAUUACUGUGCAUUGCAUGUAACCUUUAAUCAAAACUGACCUUUGAAUCACAUGGUUUAUCUACUUCGCGCGUGUUUCGAAUGUUGUGGUACUUUUAUUAAUCCCCAUAUGAGUCAUCCACGUGGCAAGUUUUUCUUACCUUAUAGCGUGGGACCUGCCUGUCAGCAUUACGUACUUUUUUUUUAUUGAAAUAUGUAUAUAUAUACAAACAGGAAGGGGGAAAAAUAGAACAAUUCAACAACAUUAUUCUACUUACUAAACUCGACCGGAAAAAAAUAGCCCAAAAAAAAGGGCAAUAUAUAGAAAAGUAUAAAUAAGGAAGCUAAUUAACAAGGUAAAAAUUAUCACCUCAUGUCCUUGAUAUGUGAAGAUUAUGAUCAGAGAUGAUCAAGGUUGAGCUCGAGUAACUUUCCUCAAGAGCACUUUCAUAAGCAGCAGUCAUUCCAAUAUCUUCUUCCAUAAAAGCACUUGUAUAUUUUGAAAGCUUUACAAUUCUGCUUUUACAUCUAAUGUGAAAUAUGAUCAUCCUCGAUGCAUUUUCUCUUCACAGUACACAUGCAAGAAUUAUAAUUAUUAUCUUCAAACGUAGAAGUAGUAUUUCAGCGUUCAUAUGCAUUAUGUUUGGUUAAUGCUGACUUCUUAUUGCCAUGCUUCCUUGCUACCAUUUUCUAUAUGCAAUCUCACGCGCGCUCUUUUGCGCUGCUCAUACUCGAGAGAGAGAGAAAUCUCUAGAGCUAUUUGGGUAAUAAACGAUCUUAGCAUUUCUGGCGCUUCCUCGGUUAUCCUGGUAAUACUCCCGAAUACAAUUAAACCGUUGAUUGUUGUUUGGUACAAUUUCUGUCAAAAAAAAAAAAUAAGUGUGUGAGAGAGAGAAAGCUUGUUAGAGAUAGAGAGAGAGAGAGAGAGAGAGAGCCCAACAAGGGAUAGUGAGGUGCUCUUCGUUCAAGAUUUUUCUUUCUGUUGUAACGAUAUCGGAAGUUCCUUCGUAAAGGUUGUCUGUGUAUCAAUGGUUCGUUUCAUUCAAAUAAUUAAAAAUAAGAAUAUACUGAUCCUAAUUUGUAGAUAUAAAUUAAGUAGAUAACACUACAAGGAAAUGGAGCUCUACCGACGUUUUUUUAGGGAUGCUUCGUUUGAGCGUCGGCAAAUCCCAAUUUAUCUCCUAAAUUAUCGAUGCUUAGGGUAAGCGUCGACGAAAUAAAAUUUUAGGCGCUGAAAUAAUUAAGUGCCCGCGAAACGCUACGCCCGCGAAACGCCCGCAUAGCGCGAAAACAUAGCGCCAAAAGUGAUAAAAAAAAAAAACCCUAAGCCUCAUAUUAGUUCUAUUUUCACAUUUCCUCUGUCACUACAUGCCUUUUUCCAUUCCCACCUUCCUUCACAGGUGAAGAAGAAGGUGAUCUCCCGCAUCCAUCGCUGCGCCCUCUCCCGCCUCUGCCGCCGCUCCCACUUCUCCGCCCAAUCCCACCGCCAAUUCGUCUAGGGCGCCCAGCUCCUCGCCCGCGCCCGCUCCUUCUCCAUUUCCUCCGCCUCCACCUCCACCUCCGCCCUCGCCCACUCCGCCAUCGCAGAGGCCGCUGCUGCCCUCGACGCUUGCGAUGCCGCGCCCCACAUCUUGAAGGCCCUCGCCCUCGACCUCUUCGGCCACCGCCUCCCCUUGCUCCGAUCUCUCGACGCCGCCCUCUCCCACCAGCCACCAAAUCCCUUUCCCCCAACGAGUGUGGCAACGCCCUCUUCAAGUGCGCCUGGAUCCAGCUCGCCCUCAACCACCAACGCUGCCUCGACGCAGCCCUCGCCGACCUCCUCGACACCGCGCGCAGGGCUUAUGGAUGGAAUGAGAAACUUGAAUGAGCUUCUGGAGCUGGAUGCAGAAGCUCUGAUAUGAAGUUUAGCUUCAGCAGGAAUCUUCUGGUACUUACUAAUUAAAAAACUUGUAGGGCUUUUCUAAAGAAUCUACUCAAAGAGCAUUGAUUUCUAUAGAAGGUCUAUAUAGGCCCCAAGUUUAUGAGUCUGAGUUUUGAAACAUAUUGUGAAUUAAAAGUAGUGACAGAGUCUGUCAACCUCCAGAUUUUGAGAAAUAGUAUGUGCAGAAUGAAGCAAAAUAAUAGUUAUAUCUUAAAAUUUGCAUUCAUUUACCCAAGUAUCCUUCCGCUAUUGAAAAACAUGGUCGUAUUAAAAAGGUAGUUGAUACUAAAUUUUAAUAGGCCACACUCUUCUUUUGAAAAGAUAGGUGCUUAAAUUAUCUGGAAAGCAUGAGAAGUAGGUGACAUAUUUAGGCCUUGUUUUGUUAUGCAUCAAUUUUACAUUUUUUUCCCCUUUUUUUUCUCUUUCACUUAAUUCCAUGCUUUGCGUAGUCUGAUGACAGAUUGUUUGCAAUCUCUGCAACAUUGGUGUUUGUUUUUUUUUUUUUAAGUAGUAGGAACAAUUAUCUCUAAGGCCUUUGCCAUCCUCGGCGAGUGCUACCAGCACAAGGGAUCCGUCGAGGCUGCACGGUGCACCUUCGACCCUGCCAUUUGGAUUGACGCCUGCUUGGAAUUGGCUCGGCAGGACCUACAGAGGCUAUCCGGAUCCAGAGGCAGAGACAUGAGCAGCUGAGUAAGGGUUUUCUUCCCCUGUCCCUCUCCGUCUUUCUUGUUUUUGUUCCAUUUCGUGUAGGGUUUUUGAAAGUUGGAUUGUUCAAUUUCUCUUUCGAUUUCUUUACAGGACAAGAAGGCUCCAUAGCUCAAGCUCUCUCUUCGAUCUCAUUAUUGAGGACAUGAGAUCCGGUCCAUCCAUAGUUCGAAUACCAGUCCCUUGCUGAACCCAGCCUCUUCUUACAGGAAUUUCCAUUGAUAACUUGUGAUGCUGCAUUUACUCCCUCAACUGCCAAAGUUGUUCUUGGUACGUAGAUUGAGACAUUGGAUUGCAAACUAUUACUGUAAAACUCAUAACGAGUUUCGGAUCCGAUCCAUACCGCGGGGGGCUCCGCCCCCCGCACCCCCUGGCGAAUGUCAGUGGUGGGCUACGGGCUCGGGCCUGUCGGCCCGAGNNNNNNNNNNNNNNNNNNNNNNNNNNNNNNNNNNNNNNNNNNNNNNNNNNNNNNNNNNNNNNNNNNNNNNACAGAUUUACGUGGAAAAUCCUUUGCAGGGAAAAACCACGGGCGAGGGAGGAGAGAACUUCACUAUGGAACGAAAAAGGGAAUACAAAGUUCUUCAGGUUACAACCAACCACGAUCACACGCCUCUAGGGCAUAAACGAUAAACGAAAAAGGAAAACUCAUAACGGGUUUCGGAUCCGAUCCGUACCGCGGGGGGCGGAGCCCCCCGCACCCCCUGGCGAAUGUCAGUGGUGGGCUACGGGCUCGGGCCUGUCGGCCCGAGCCCUCCGCUACCCACCACAGACAUUCAUUUUUCCUCCAUAUUUUUCUUUUUCAAUUUGGUCGCACCGCGAAACAGUCGGCGAAUCAAAAAUCCGAACUUGAGUCGAAUAUUAAUUUCGAGUCACAUCUAACAAUAUGCUCCAAAAUUUUUUUUGGUUUCUAAAACAUCUUUGCUUCUUUUUUGCGUAAAAUAUUUAGAUAGAACAAACUCUGAAAAAAUGAAGUCUAAUAGAAUUUGUUGGACUGAUCUAACGGUUUGUAUGGUCUUAGAUGCUUGACGUUUGUUAGCAGAUGCCCAUAGCAGAAUUCUUAUGAACUCCCACACAAGGUUAAUUGCUUGAUUGAAUCUUCCAUCAUUUGUCAUUCAACCUUAGCAAGUUGUAGGUACUGAUUGUAGAAAUUUUUGUGUUGUUCUACCAACUCAUUAGCCACCACUUUGUUAGGAAAGAGCUUAAUUGAAUUAAUAUGCUUGAAGUUCUUUUUCCGUCGUUUAACAAUGUACUUUGAUAGAAUUUUAACCACACCUUGAUAAUUUAGCACCGAGAGCACAUGCCUACCUGAAAUACCUUGAAUUGAAAAUAGCAACAAAAUAUAGCUAAAUUCAAACUCAUUUUCACUGUAAAGAACCUCAUAGCUCUUUUGCUAUAAGGCUAAACCAUCUUUCACUCUUGUAUGGUCUAUUACCUCAAAGAAGGAUACUAAUCCAUCAACUUUCACUAGCGAAGGGGUGCAAUAGGUCAAAAUCUUGAUCUCUUCUUGGAAUGUUAAACAUUUCCAAUAUUGUGUAAACCUUGCAUAAUUGCUGUUUCAUGUAAAAUUGUAUUACUAAUUGAAGGCCUAUACUCUAUAUGCACAUGAGAAAAAAGAUCUAAUUUUUUUAGAUUGUAGUGUUUAACAUAGUAAAAUCUUUUUAUCAAAAAAUUUGCUUUGAUAUAUCCUAUAAAAUAUAUUUGUCACCUAAGAAAUGUUAUUGGCUGAUAUUUUUAUGAAAACAAGAUAACUUAGCAUUUUUUUUAUUUGGUACUUUUCUAAAAAUCCUAGAUGGCCCUUAAAUUUUUGUUUGAAACGUGAAACUAGCCAUACAAUUAGUGUUUAAUUCCAGAUAAGCUCUAUCAUGUCAAACAUUUGAUUCACAAGUAAUAUUACACUGCUAAAUAAUAGUUUUAAAUAUUACAGGAAUACAAUUAUUCCUAACCAACACCAUAGCACCGUUCCCGGCUCGACAAACUCAUUGGUAAUAGUUAGUCAAAGCGAAAUUUUUGGAUAAGGAGCUUCAAAAUUCUACAGUGAGGAGAGCAAGAUCUUCUUGGUAUGGUAAAGCUUAUUAUUUUGCAUAUUUUUCUGUAUUUUUUUUUUCAAUUUUGUAGUAUUGUUUUUCUCUUUAUUGANNNNNNNNNNNNNNNNNNNNNNNNNNNNNNNNNNAUAUAUGACAUUUGGCUUGCCCUCUAAGGUCAUUUAUCUUAAUUUCCAUAAUUUUGGAAGUAAGUGUGUUAAUUGAAAUGCUAAAUUUUUUAGUAAGGAGUAUUAGUGUCAACUCUAACUAAAUAUGAAGUUUAGAACAGUCCAUUAUUUAUUUUUAUUGUUUGGGCUCAAUUUUAUAAAGCUAAAUAUCUCUUUCUACCCUAAUGUUUAUAGUUGAGACUGAAGUUCUUGUUCUUUAUUUUACUUUUUUUUUUUAACAUAUGGGUUAUAAUCAUACAGAUUGUGAUACAAUGGACAAAAGUUGGAUAAGUAAGCCGAGAAAUGAUAAUGCGUACAUUGAUGGUGUUAGAAAUUUUAUUAAAUUUGCUAUGGAAAAAUCAUCGAUAAAUGGCAAGAUCUUAUGCCCAUGUCGAAAGUGUUACAACAAUUCUUCUUUUGUACCAGAAGUUGUCGAAGAACAUUUAGUGUGGAACGGUUUUUUAUUAGGUUACAAUGUUUGGGUAUUUCAUGGAGAGUCAUUUGUGACAUCUUCAAGUGAAAUCGAAUGCACUUCAUUUGCUCUAGGGUCUACUAGUGCACAAGAAAGUAGUUCAAGACAAGAUGGUCUAGGAGGAUUGCUACAAGAUGUCUUUGGAAUUAUGGGUACUAAUUUGAAUAAUGAACAAGUAAUGAAUGAGACUAUUCCUAAUAAUUUAGAAGAAUAUAAUGACGAGGCGUAUGCUACCGGAUUUCUCGGCGAGCAAAAUUUUAAUGAGAGGUCAAUGCAAUCAUCACCUAGUGAAACAAUCCGAUAUAAAAACUUGGUGAAAGAUUGUGAUCAAGAAUUAUAUCCAGGUUGUAAAACUUUUUCCAAGAUAUCAUUCAUUCUCCGCUUAUUCCACCUCAAAUGCUUAAACGGGUGGUCUGGAAAAUCCUUUACAAUGUUGCUUCAAUUAUUAAAGGAUUCAUUUCCUGAAGGAACCUCUUUGCCGUCAUCUUAUUAUGAAGCUAAAAAGCUAAUAAAAGAUUUGGGUCUUGGAUAUGAGAAGAUUCAUGUUUGCCCUAAUGAUUGUAUGUUNAUAUAUAUAUAUAUAUAUAUAUAUAUAUAUAUAUAUAUAUAUAUAUAUAUAUAUAGGGGCUGCUGUAGACGUGUGGAAUAGAAUCCACUGCUAAAUUCAGAUAGACCUCGCAAUCUCUACUCGUACCCGUGGAUACUUGCAGGUUAUAUACCGGCAAAUUUGCUGAUAUGGAUACUAGUUUUUUCUACUGAAAAACUUACGGAUAAAACGGAUGGAUGCCCGUUAAGUUGUGGGCAUUUUGGGCAAUCUGCGGGCACUCACAAGCACCUGCAUAUUUUUUUUAAUCAAAAAAUAUAUCAUUUUUAUGAUAUUAACUCUAUAUUAUGUGGCGCGUCAAUUUGGAUUUGUCUAAACCAUCCCUACUCCAUCCAAAUUCUUCACAGCCAAUACUGCCCGUAGUCAUCCUCCAACACUAGUGAGCAUUCCGAGGUAUGGUACUCCUUUUUAGUCCUGCAGAAUCUUCAUGGCCUGAAGACGCACUCCAAGUUGACGCUGAGCAUUGAAGUUUACUGUCCUCAUUAUGUGGCACGUCAAUUUGGAUUUGUCUAAGCCAUCCCUACUCCAUCCAAAUUCAUCACAGCCAAUACUGCCCGUAGUCAUCCUCCUAUGAAGAGAGCAGCUGAAGCAGAUUGGCUUUCAAUUGUGGGGAAUGGCCUCAGGUUUUUACCCCUGUGUGUUUUCAGCCGAACCGUACGAGGUUAGCCGAUCUCCACUUCCAGGGUACCUGAGAGAGCUUUUGUGAGAUCAUUUUUUCCAAGACCUUGUCUCACUGUCUCCAUAACAUCCUUCAUACAAAAGCUAUUUCUUAAUAUAGUCCUAUAUUUCUUUCUUCUUUUGUUUUUUCUCUCUUUAAUCUCUUUUGCUUACUUUAGUUGGCAUUUCUAUGGGUAAAGAGACUGCACUGGACUAUCUGGAACCACAGGAUUUAGGCGAGGAUUCUGACACGGAUCCAAAGGUCUCGCCUCGCCCCUCAGUGGUAUAUUUCGCCUCUCAUGGUACAUCUACCUUUAUUGUGUUUGCGGCUUAUUUCCAUUCUUUUUUUUUUAUUCUUUUUAGCCAGCAUGUGUUUCCAAUCCAUCGGCCAGGCUACCGGAGAAGCAACCGAUUGAAUCUGUUUCUUCAGCUCUGCCGCAGUAGAAGUGGCAAAAAUUGAUUGCUAUUAGGAUUCGAUCUUUUUCUCCUCCUGCAUCGGUUGAAGGUGUGCCAUCUGUGGAGGAGCCGACUGCUGAUACUGUACUGUCAGCUCAAACCACUGUUCCAGUCGAGGAAGUACUUGAGUUUGUCCUGACAAGGGCCCCUACAGAGCCGAUUCCUCCUGAAGAAGACCCUCAACAAGUUUCGUCAUCAGUCGAGAUAAAUUCUCAGCCUAUUUUGAUUAAUUCUCCACCGAGAUAAAUCCUUAGUCUAUUUUGAUUCAUUCUCCUUCGUCUUCUCGCUCUUCAACCGGAUCACCUAUGUUAUCCUCAUCGAUGAGCUGAAGGAGACGACCUCCGAUAAAGCACUGACAAAGAUCUCGUGUGCUCGAUUCACCUCAGCACUCGAAAAGGCCACUACAACAAAAACUUUUAAAUAUCGGUACAGGUGAAAAAAAGUUAUGCUGGCUAAAUUACUAACACUUUCUAAAAGUGUUGCUAUAUAUGGGGUCCUAUAUGUAUAGCUGUCUUGAUGUUUGGCACCCACUCUUUCAGCGACAUGUGGUGGAGGGACACAUGGCGAUCAUAGCCCUCUACGGUCCUUGCGAGAUUCUUGCAGCCGAACUCAAGCUGCCGGAACUCAACCUCGUCAGCUGCUGCGGCAGAGGAGAAGGGAAGAUGGUGAACAAUUUUUUUUUUCUUUUCUAUUUGUAAUCGGGCUGAGUAGGCUGGAUAGGGUUGGUUGAGUAGAGAAACUUUUUAUUUUUUAUUGGAUUGACUUUAUAUUUAGGCUUUAGUAGAUUUUUUAAAAAAGUUUGGCAUAAAUGGGACAUUUACACAAAAGUGUCCCAAAACUGUGUCCCUAUAACCUAAUUCUGUUGUAAUGUAUAAUCAUGUAAACUUUAUUAAUUUUGUAUCGCGAAAAUUUGGGAUGAUAAAAUACUUUUAUAUAAUGUAAUUUAUGCAGUUUAAAAUUUUAUAUUUUUAUUAUAUAUUGUGAUAUUUCAAAUAACAAGUUAUGUUAUGUUUUUAAAAAUUAUAUAUAUAUAUAUAUAUAUAUAUAUAUAUAUAUAUGUGUGUGUGUGUGUGUGUGUGUGUGUGUGUGUGUGUGUGUGUGUGUGUGUGUUUUACAUUUGGAAAGUAUAGGAGCAAAAAAUUUAAAAAAAAAACUCACGGGUAACUCACAUACCUGCCUCGCCAUGGGUAAAAAUAUUGACUACGCAAAAAUUUACGAGUGUUGGCGCCAACAAUAGCGCCACAUGGUAGAGCAACUUGAGCCACGUGAGCAAAGUGACAGGAGUGAGAGAUAAAGUGAGACAUUGUCCACUCAGAGUUGGAAGCCGUAUGCCUAAAACAGAAAGGCGGUUUAGGCGGGAUGCGGUUGAAGACGUGGAGGAAGGAGUUCAUGGCCAGCAAGAAAUCGGCCGAAGCAUAAUCCAAUAAAAUAGGGACGUCGCCGAAUAAACCUCCAUGACGGGAUUAACUCAAUAACGGCAAGCACGAUUAUAAAUAAGAAAAAGUGCGCUUAUAAGAGGGGUCAUUCACACGAGUAAGAGACCAUAACAAAUUUCAAUUUCUUUCUUUUUGGCAUUUACUGCUUUCCUAGGAGUUAGUUUUAGUAGUCAGUAGAUUUUCUUGUUAGUUGUAAUAGAUUUUCUUGUGGUGGAGUAGGGUUAUGAGUAGAGUUUAUCUCUGUAAAAACUUUUGUACCUCUAUUUUGUCCGUUUUUCGAUAAAUAUAAGCCACUCAAUUCAUUCAGCUGAGUUUGUAAAUAGUUGCAAAAGAAUUCGGUUGAGCCGAUCUCUCCUUAACCGAAUCGCUUGAUUUAUCAGUGGUGCACUCGAGGGUAAUCUUAGGAGCUGAUUCACAUUUCGAGGACGAAUUUGACCUGGUCAACGCUUUGAUCCGGUCUGUGUAGCUCCGCAUUCAGUUAGCACAGUAAUUUUUGGCACGCCUAGUGGGACACACUCAGGUACAUCCAAUCUCUCUCAAAUGGCUAACGACAACACAAUGAACCUCUGAAAUAAGACCGCUCCCAGGCCCUUAGGGAAUGACCAAGUCGGUAGUGCCAAAAAUACAAAUGAGCAUCAGGCGAUGCUGCAGUCAGAAGGUGAGAGUAGUGGGCACUCGGCUCAUUAAGAGUCGAGCCUAACACAGGCACUCGAAAAAAUAACCCGAGUCCUGUAGUUUCUGGAUCAGAAUAGUCUCCGGAGUACCGCCUGUUUAGAUGUGAUGCUGGCUGCUAUCACGGUCUCCAACGAAAACAUUACUCGUAUUAGGCAAUUGUUCGCUGGCAGGCCACUAAGCAACCAUAUGGGGGUCCACAAGGACUCCUAGCCUUGCCGGUGCAACAAAAACUUGUUGCGCUGGCAGGCCUGUAGACACAACCCCAGAUAGCACCUUUUCAUGUUGACCAUCAGCCGACAAAUGUAAACGUCGGCCAGCAACCGAAGAUAGUAUGGAGUUUACCCUUGCCACCUCCCUUACCUACCUAUCAACCCCAAAACGAGGGUGUGAGGGCUGGAGGCCAAGGCCCUAACGCAGCGCAGGGAUUUAACCCUGCAGUGCAAAACUACGUACCACCUCUAGAGAUGAACGAAAUUCUGGCCCCUGCUCCUGCCCUUGGAACAGGGAACAAAUGCUUAAAUAGAGGAGGCAAUCCGAAAUACGUUUGGUGUAGGGGCAAGGCCGGUGAUGCGGCCUGUAUUCAGGUCCCCAUAGCCAGCUAAUAUUGAUGCGGAACAUUCGUAUUCGGCAAAUUGGAAGAUGCAGAAGUUCGACAAAUUUUCGAGCAAAGAGACUGAGAAUACAAUAGAGCAUGUCGCUCGAUUCACAACCUAAUUUACAGAAGUGGCCGCUAACCCAUUCUUAAAACUUUGCUUGUUUAAAACGUCGUUAACCAAGAUGGCGUUUACAUGGUGCACGAGCUUACCUGCCAAGAUUGGGACGAAUUGGAGCGUAAAUUUCAUGAGCAAUUCUAUAGAUCAGAAUUUGGAUCAACGGUAGCCGAUCUAGCGUUGUACAGACAGAAGUCGUGACAAACGGUUGAAGAGUACUUGAAUCAUUUCAAAACGGCCAGAAACUAGUGCUUUGUGAGUAUGCCAGAAUCUGAAUUCACCAAAAUGGCAUUUAAUGUUCUGUAUUUUAAAAUAGGGUUAAUUUCAUACAAGUCUCUGCAGAUAUAGUGAAUUACAAAUAUAUACCUACAAAGUUCAACUUUUAUAUGUAGUCCUUGCAAAAGUCAUGAUGUUUUCAAAUAUAUCCCUAUCGGUAGGAUCUGUUAAAAAAAAUUAGUUAACCAUAGGUAAAAUACUUAACCCUAGUUAGCUAAUAAGGUGAAUUAACCUUUUUACCCCUCUUCAAUUAACAGUUGGCCAACUUUUGGUGGGAUAUAUUUGUAAUGGCAAAAAGUUCAUUUCACUUAUUAAAUAAACAACGCUUUAAUGGUAAUAACCUAGAGGGACAUAUUUGAAAAUAUUAAGACUUUUGCAGGGACAACAUAUGAAAGGUGAACUUUAUAGGGAUAUAUUCACAAUUACUAUGUUUGUAGGGACUUGUAUAAAAUAAACCCUUUAAAAUAAAGGACCAUUUCGAAGAUAAGUAUUUUUCUAAACUGUUUGAUCUGGGUGUUCGGGUCGUCCAAUAUAAGCAAUUUAGAAAGGAAAAUAGGGGUGAUCGGCCGUGUUGGAGUCGAAACAAAGAAUGGAACAGGAGAAAAGAGAAAAACCUCUCUUUCAUUGAAGAGGGAUCAGCUCGAGAUGAGUCGAAUACCUCUAGUGAGUCUGAGGACUCGGCUGAUGAAGCUGAUGUAUACGUGGCUGAGAUGGUAAAGAACCGCUAGCCUUACAAGUGUACAAUAUUUAGGCCAACUAAAGCUAUAAAGCAUGAAUUGCUAUAUACAUGUAUUCAUUUGAUGUGACCAAAACUAACUAGAUAUUUGAUCGAUUGUAUAAGGACGGAAGGAUCAAGCUCAUGUUGUCUUCUAGGGUGGAAUUGAAGAAAAAAAAUAUUAGAAGUGGCACCAUUCAUGGAGCAACAUGACUAGUGAUUGCACAACCUUUAAGAGGCAAAUACAAAAGAACAUAAAAAAAAGUCGGCUGAUUUUUGCCGACCAAAAAAAUAAGGAUAAAAUGAAAAUUAACCAAAACCCCUUUCCUACACAGGUUAACAUUGUGGACGUCAAAGGAAAGAAGCCACUUCAGGAGGACAAAUUUCAGGAAGACGUGGUUAAGAUGAGAAGAAUGCUUCGGCUCUGCAUAAGGUGUAAGGCCGAAAUGACACUCCAGGACUGGAAAGUUAUCAUACGUGAAAAGAAGGCGUAUGGGGAAUGGAAGGAGUUCAUGGCCUUGCCUGAGGAAUAGGAAGAUAUAUCCGAGGCCAUCGGUCUUCCGGAUGAAUGGAGGAGGCCUCCAAUGACUCCGAAGAAGAAGUGAACUCCAGGAAGGACUGGAAGGACCCAUCGAUCCGAAAGGUCAUGAACGAGUACUAUCAGAUGAAAGAGAGGACUAGCCAAGAGGGUUAUCCAAGAAAACCUUUCGACACUUAGCGAAGGAACCAGGGGUGUCAGCCCACAUGGCACUAGCACCUACAGUCGAGACCCGAGCCAGAAUUUGAAGGAAUGACUGAGAGAGAUGUAGAAAUCCUCGGUCGGAGACUAAUGAAUGAGCUCGGCAUCCAACCAUGGCCAAUACUGUGGGAAAGAGGAGAGAGCCUGCAGGAAUACCUCAAAAUGGUGAUGACGCCAGCAAACAUGCCAACUAAGCAGUGGUUAACGGCAAGGGCGUCGGUGAGGUAGUAUAGGCCGGUUCUGAUGAAGACACAAAAAUGGGCAGCAAUAGAGGGUGCAGGUCGAGAUGAGACACGACUAGGAGAAAGUGAAAGGAAUGAAGCCGAAUAUGUUGAAACAGUCUGCUCAACGGUUGCCUCCUCGGCCUAUAAAGAAUGAUGAUGAGGCGGGCAGCUCAAAUCCCUUGCCAUGGCCGAAAUCCUAGUAGAGCAGUCGACUGCGGAAAAGCCGAUGAAGAAUGUCACGUGCAAAGAGCUGAAGGAGAAUAUCGUUUCUCUUGAGACUAUCAUCAAAUGAGAGCGAUGCCAUCCAAGUAGAGAGAGGUUAGGCUAGAGAGUGAAUCUUCAGCCGAAGUGGCAAAAGGGUCUGAUGAGGAAAAAGAGAGGACCGGAGAAGUUGCAGUCGAAGGAAAUUCGGCUGACAUGGGCAUGGUGUAAGCGCUGCCAUGCUCGUUCUAGGUAGAGUCAGAAAAGUUUGAGGAGCAGCCUCAAUAUGAAGAGGAGCUAGCAGUGGCCUAGCUCCAGCUUGAGGACUUCAAAGUGGAUGAUGCAGUGUUGUUUAAAAAGCAUCGGCCCUGCAAAACAGGUUUGUCAGGCCUUUGUACAUUAGGGCUUUAAUAGAGGGACGACCUAUUGACCGAGUAAUGAUAGACAACGAGGCUGUAGUGAACGUUAUGCCAACUUCGUUUCUCAAGAAACUGCGCAAAAAUGAAGAUGAGCUCAAGCCCACCAACACAAUCAUGACUGACUUCAUGGAAAGCGGUCAGCAGGCAUGGGGAGUACUGACAACCAAACUGACAGUUGGAUCCAAGACUCUCUGGAUGGCCUUCUUCAUAGUGAAUGCCAAUAGCCACGACAAUCUACUACUGGGGUGUGAUUGGAUCCACGCCAACGAAUGUGUACCCUCGACUCUCCACGAGAAGCUUUUCUAGUGGAUUGGGGAUCGCAUUAAGAAAAUCGUGGCCAAAGAAGCCUCAGUUGGUGGAUGUGAACAUAGGGCGCAUCAGCCAUUUGAAUUAGGCUGAAGCAGACCCGGACCAGAUCUCAUUUAUCGGGUCAGCAAAGACGGAGUAUAGCUGGUACUCCAAAAAGAAAACAGAAGUACUAGCAGCCGCCGAAGAGUCGUCGGCUUGGCUAAAAUGGAAUGUCAGGAGUUAAGAGCCAAGGCUCUGAGGGAGCUUCCGGAUAAAAUGCUGACCAAGGGAGUCGGCCACUUCAAGGAUUUGGCCAUUGCGACCGAUGAAAAAACCAUAGCAAAUGGUUUGGCUCAAAGGGCCGUUGGUAGGGAAAAAGGGCAGCCGGAAGAUUCGGUCGUUAGGGCCGGGAAUGGCAGGCCAAAUGAAACAAUGGCAUCGGCUGGCAAGGCCAACAGGCUGGAGAAAGAAGAAGAAUCGACCACAGGGAUCCAAGCCAAAGUAGGUUUUAUGAAAGAAUCACCAAUCAAGAUUGGGGAGAAGACGUUGGAGACUCAAGACCCGCUGAUCGAGAUGAAUUUAGGGUCGGACGAAGAUAAGCGACCAACCUUCAUUAGUGGAAAACUUUUGGCACGACAACAAGGGGAGUUGAUCGAGCUACUGAGGGGAUAUAAGGAUUGUUUCAUUUGGAGUUACAAAAAAAUGCCGGGACUUAGCUGAAAGAUUGUAGAACAUAGGCACCCUAUAAAAAAAGAAUUCGGCCUUAUAAAUAGCUAACUAGUAGGUUUGAGCCGAAUAUUGAAAAUCUUUUGAAAGCCAAUUUUAUUAGAGCGGCUCGCUAUGUCGACUGAGUGUCCAACAUUAUUCUAGUGCGUAAGAAAAAAGGCAAAUUUAGGGGUUGUAUUGAUUUUAGAAAUUUGAACACGGUUACGCUUAAGGACGAAUACCCUAUGCCUAUAGUUGAUAUGCUGGUAGACGCAGUAGCCGAUCAUGAAAUCCUAUCCUUUAUGGGUCGUCACGCUGGCUACAAUAUAGCCGAAAAAGAUGUAUUGAAAACGGCUUUUAGAUGUCCGAGGUCCAAUGGGACUUUUGAAUGGAUAGUGAUGUCCUUCGAAUUAAAGAAUAUUGAGGCCACUUACCAGUGAGCAAUGAAUUUUAUCUUUCAUGAUCUGAUCAAUAAAAUUUUAGAAAUUUACAUCAACGAUAUCGUAGUGAAAUCCAAAUCUCAGACCGAUCACUAGGUAUAGUGUCCCUGGUGUUUUGCAGCUUGUGUGAUCUCAGCAUCUGAGGCUUGUCGACAUGUCUGGAGAGUGUCGUGACAAGUUGGAGUCGUUUUGGUGCGAAAUGGACGUAAAACGGACUCAACACGAUGCGAGAGUGGAGUUCUGACACUGAAAUCUGCAAAGUGCAGGAUUUCAGUGUUGAGUACCGAUACCGGGGAGGAGUACCGAUACCCCAGUAGAUUUAAGAAUUGGAUUCUCUCAGGUUUACGCGUAUUUGAUGCUGAGUACCGGUACUGACUUAUCGAGUACCGGUUUCGAGCGCAGGUACCGGUGCUACAUCGGGCUGGUACCGGUACCCAACGUGUGAGACUGCAGGUUGAGGACCCGAGUACCGGUAUUCAAGUUAAGUACCGGUACUCUAGCUGAAAAUUUGAGUAGGUGAGGGGCAGUUUGGUCUUUUAAAGUGUCAUUCAUUCCAACUUUUCCCCAGCCUAUUUAUUUACAUGUAGGGUGUUUAGAGAGGGGCUACUGUUUCUUUUCCUUUCUCUCUCUAGCUGGUGGACACCGUGUGUAGGGGAGGUCGAGGCUCGAGCUUGUUCGGAUUCGACGUUACUCCGGAGGACCGUUCGGACGCGUUGGUGUCGCGAUUGCGCCGUUGGAGGUUGGGCGAGCACAUGGGUUCCUUCCUAUCGACUUCUAGCCGACGUUGGCCGAGCGAUCGAGGUGGGUUGAUAUUUACCGAAAUCGUCGGAUUUCCUCCUAAGUCGUCGUGUUGACAGCAUGUAGUUUUUUUGGUUUUGGUUAUCAUGUUGUAGCUCAAAUUCAAGAAAUUGCAUUUUAAAUGAAAACUGAGUUAUGGAGUAUGAUCUAGAAAUUUAGCCCAAUUUAUAUGCUGAAAUUGGAAUUGACUUAGGAGAAAACUAGUAACCCUACACUGUCAUUUUCUGAAAAGUUACCAAAUUUAGCUUUAGAAACUGUUAUUAAUUUGUAUCACCGCUGUUAGUGCGAGGUGGAUACCCAGAUUAGUGUAGAAUGAGUUUACGCUUGAGCUGGGAGGCCGAGCUCAUUUUGCAGUAGAGUGUAGACUGUUUUGUACUGUCGGGUGCCGUCGUGGUUGACGGUGGAUCCAGAUUUCUAUAUCUUGCAUUAGAUUGUGCCAAGGGCACGUGAGCUUUGGUUGUUAGACCAAAUAGACCCAUUUGCAUUGACUACAGCCUGUGAGGGCUUGAUUGAGCUCGGCAGAGACACGCUUGCAUACUCGGUUGGGUCGCACCCACGAGUGUCAUUCCGGAGUCUGGCUACCUUGCUUUGCGUUGAUGUCAUAAUAGUCCGAUUUAGACCUCGCUCUCCACUGGCCGCACUCGGGGUGGUGUAUGGUGUAGCUUAGACCGGCAGGACGGGUGUAUCACAGUCCCUAAUGAGAUUGGGUAAGUGUGAUGCAUUUUCAUAUCUACAGAUAGCCUAUGUUGGUUAGUGAUAGUAUAGUGGCAUGUAGCUGUAGAGUUUUUCCAACUUUCUUUAAUAUCCUUUGCACUUAUUUCUGUAGACUUAGUGGGUGAGCUGUUGAGAUCUGUGGCGGUACCCACUGAGGACUACUUCAUUUUGCAGUAGUUCUCACACCCAGUUGUUGACACCUUUUUGCAGAGCCUUCGUCUGCGGCUGCCACUGUUGCUGAUUCCGACCGCGGGAAGGGAGUCGCGAGCUAGAUCCCUACCAGUCGUGUCGCCGUACUAGAGGAGUACCCUACACAGGUAUUUUUGGGGUGUUUCAGUUCAUGUACAUACCUUAUGUUUGGUUUACUCGCUGGAGCGAAGGUUGGUGUUGGUUCGGAGAUUUUGUAUGUAUUAUGAACCUUAUGUUUUGUAAUUAUUCAUAUUUUCAGUUUAGUAGCUCUUACAUUCUGGUUGUAGCUACGAUUUGAUUACAGGUACAGCUAUCGCUUCGUAUACAUAAAAAAAUUUUAUGUAUACGGCGAGUCCGUUGGCGCGCCCGGGAAAACGUGGUAAUCCGGGGCGUGACACCGGGCCAAUCUAAGAUUAUUAGCCUUCGAACGCAUAAAGAAAUACAAUCUAAAAAUGGAUCCUCUAAAAUGUGCAUUCGAGGUGUCGGCUAAAAAUUUUUUCGAUUUUUUGAUUCAUCAGAAAGGGAUCAAGAUAGAUAAGGAUAAGGCAAAGGUAAUUAUAAAAUUACCGCCACCUAAAACUAAAAAAGAAUAACAAAGUUUACUGAGAAAAAUAAACCAUUUGAGAUGAUUCAUAUCAAAUCUAGCUGGGAGAAUAGGAGUAUUUACUCCAUUACUUCGGCUAAAGAAUCAAGAGGAAUUCUUAUGGACAAAAGAGCACCAGGAGGCUUUUGAACAUAUUAAAAGAUAUUUGAUAAAACCCCCAGUGCUCAUCUCCCCUCGACAAAGACAACCGAUGAAAUUGUAUAUCUCGGUUGUGGAGGAGAACUUGAGGUGUCUGUUAGCUCAGGAGAAUGAUCUAAAAGAGAAGUAAGUGAUCGAAAAACUAUGUUAGGUAUUAUAUUAUACUUGCAUCAAGCUGAAAUACUAUAUCUCAUCUGUCGAAGUGUUGGUUGUCUAUAAGACCGAUCUUAUAAAUUAUAUGUUGUCGUGACCAGUUUUAAGGGGAAGAAUAGGGCGUUGGAUGUUAUCCUUGUCCGAAUUCUCUCUUAAUUACGUCCCGAUAAAGGUCGUUAAGGGUUAGGCAAUAGCCGGCUUUUUGGCUAGUUACCCAUGCAUGUGACGAAAUCUAAGAGCCGAGCCAAAAACUAGUUGGCCUUCGGUCGUGGAUGCUUUACUUUGAUGGGUCCAAGACAUCCGACUCGGCGGUAGCCCGGAUAAUGAUACAAUUAUCUGAAGGAAAAACUUUCCAGUUUUCCGUCAAACUAGAUUUCAGCUGCUCCAAUAACCAAGCCGACCACAAGGCUUUGAUAAUUGGUCUCAAAAUGUUAGACGAGCUAUAGUUGUCAUUGGUGACUCACAGUUAGUGAUAAACCAAUUAAGUGAUCAGAGAGUACCAAUGCGAAAGCCCUAAUCUGUAAAACUACUUGAGCAAGAGAAUGAAAAUUACUUAAUAGAUUUCGGAAGGUGGAAUUUGUGCACCUAUCAAGGAAGGAAAACAAGCGAGCAAACGAGUUGGCUCAAUUAGCUUCAAGAUAUAAAGAGUUGAGAGGGAUGAGCCAGGUCAAGUUUGGCAAAAGGCUGCUACCAUCGAUUUACACGCGACAGCCGAUAGUGAUUGCCCUUGUCAUAGUGCAGGAUGAUUAGAGGACACCUCUAGUUGAUUUCCUCAGCAAUCCAAGUAGACAAGCCAGCUAUCAACUAUAGAAGAAGGCUCUCGGCUAUUGUCUACUAGACGAACAUCUUUAUAGAAGAAUGACUGAAAAAGUGCUUCUAAAAUGUUUAGAAAUCAAGGAAGCCCUGAUAGUCAUAGGUAAGUUCCAUGAGGGGUUGUGUGGGGCACAUUUGGCCGACAGAAAAUUGAGUUGAACAAUUCGACAUAUGGGAUACUACUGGCCAACCAUGCACGAGGAUUACAUAAAGUAUGCCAGAGGAUGUCAAGAAUGCCAAUUCAAUGGGCCGGUGUAAAGGGUACCAGCCUUUGAGAUGCACACUAUUAUCAAGCCUUGGCCGUUCCGUGAUUGGGCUAUAGAUUUGAUUAGAGAAAUUCAACUGAAUUGUUUGGCUGCACAUAAACUUUUUGAUAGUGGCCAUAGAUUAUUUUACCAAAUAGGUGGAAGUAAAGCGCGCGAGAAUGACCACUCAAAAGGACAUUAUAAAAUUUGUAGAAGAUUCCAUCAUUCAUCGCUUCAGGAUUCUCGAAACGAUUAAAACCAAUCAGGGGAUGAUAUUCACAGGGGAGCAGUUCUUGAGAUUUUUGAAAUCAAGACAGAUCAAGCCGCUACAUUCAUCACUUUAUUAUGCACAGGCCAAUAGAGAGGCCAAGGCAGUAAAUAAGGUUAUCAUAAAUAUGAUGAAGCGAUAUAUUGGAAGAUAUCCGAGAAAAUUAAACGAGAAGCUCUCGAAAGUAUUGUGGGUGUAACGAACAAUCGUCAAGACAGAACAAAGGUCACGCCAUUUCGGCUGGUCCAUGGUCACAAGGCCGUUGUGCCGGUCAAAAUAAUGGUCCCUUCAUUAAGGAAGAAAGACAAAAAGAAUUGUCGCCUAAAAAAUACGAACUCUUGAUGUGCUGGAAUUUAGACGAGAUUGACGAGACUCGAUUAUUAGCACUCAAUUAUUUGAAAGCCUAUUAGAGCCGAGUAGGCAACGCGUACAACAAAAGGAUCAGAGCUAAAUCUUUCAAUGUAGGAGACAAUGUUAAAGUGAAUAUUGCCGAUUUGUUGAAAAAGCUAGCUGUACGAAAAAUGAUCUCCGAAUUGAAAAGGAUCAUUUCAAAUAUACAAAGUUGUUAGAGGCAAUGCAUACUUCUUAAAAACAUCAGGAUGAUCAAAAAAUAACAAGGUGAUCAAUGGAAAGUACUUGAGAAAAUAUUAUCGUUCUGUAUAAAAAGACGAAUAAAAUAUUAUCAUAAAAUAAAUGUCAAAAUAUGUCACAGCCGAUAUAUAAAAGUCGAAAAAUCAAAAUAAUAAAUCCUAAAGUUGGUUCCAUUCGAUUUCUAAGUUGGACUGAGCUUGGUCGGCUGCAUGUUUCCUCUGUUUCAUGGUUAGAUGGAUCUUGUAAAGCUGUGUCACGCCCCGAGGCCGAUUUUUAAAGCCAUUUUGAAAACAGAGUUGUGGAAGACGUGCCUUUUUUUUUUUUUUUUCAACCUGGCCCACGUGACGUACUGACCCGCCACAAAUACAAAGUUCCUCUGUCCUCUCGGACAGAGUCUCCUUUGUAUUUGCACGGCGUACCAACAAUACAACAGGAUCUCAACUACAAUCUACAAUUACCAAUCAACAACCAAUUCAUGAUAUGCAUUUUCAUACAGCUAACAAUCCUUAAAGUUGAUGCAUACCUCUAAGCACUCCUUAGGCGCUGGAUGAUGCAAUACACAGUACAACAAUCAUCCUACUUCAAAGUGCUCCCUACCCGGAAGCUUUAUUUUUUAAAAUCUAAUUCAUUCAUACAUGAAAACCAUUCGAAAACCUUUUGAAAACUGUUUUCCACACGGAAACUCUGCUUUGAAAACCGACUACCUCAAGGGGUAGAAAACCACAAUGUAUAAAUCCGUAAAUAUAUAAAUCGAGAAUCAACUAUCCAUAAAACCAAAACCAAGAAUCCACAAAUCUCUAAUCUCAUAUUCACAAUCUCAUGCAUACGAGGAAAACCAACUCAUUCAAACAUUCAAAUAUCAGUAAUGAUCAUCUAACUGAACCAUUUAUUUAAACUGCUAAAAGUAGGAAUGAAAUAACCAGGGUGACGGUUGCUAUACCAGACUAGCUAGAUCGUCAUCUCGUCGCGCCCAACACAAACUCCAAGCCUAAAUCAUCUGGGGAAAUGGGGGGUGAGAAACCGCAAACAUGGUUUCCCAGUGGAUACGACAGAGCCACGAAGGCAAGCCGUAAUCACCGGAAACCAAAGGAGAUAGGUAACAAAUAUAGAUGCUGAUAUGAAGAAACUACAGUAGCUACAACAGAUAAUAAGGAGCAAUAAAUAAAUCUGCUACUGUAUAGAAAACGAUGCUAAGAAUGCCUCAAUGUAAUGAACCAGAAACUGUACCAAUCUGUGCCUGCUAUAUUGGUCCGCAGGCCUCAAGCGCUGCCUGUCACUAACUGCACCGACCUGAUCCAUCUGCCCCACAGGACGACCUAUCCAGAUAAGUACACCUCCGAUCGGUGGCCAAACCGAUCCGGUGUCAUGAAUACCCCCAAGUGCUGUGACUAAGUCAUGCUGGUAUGCUCAAACAAAAACCGGCUGAAGCCGGUGCCUAGGCCGAUGCCAACAACAAGGGCGUACAACGUCGUACUAUGAUAGAUGCUAGGGCGUACAACGCCGAAUCACGAUCAACCAGAUCGAAACACACGACAAAGGAGUCGAUGUGUUGCCUGAACCCAAGGUCCACAAAGAUGCAAUAUACAAAUACAAACUUGCUCUACAUGUCUAUCCACAACUAUCCAAAUGCAAUCAACGAGAUACGAUAACCAAACGAUAAACAAACAAUGACAUGUAGAGACUAAAAUGCUGGAAUAGAAAAACAGGAGAAGGAGGUGAAACGCUCUCACCGACUACCAGCACGAAGCACUCACCUGUCACAAUCGCGUCGGAGAAUCUGGAUGCACACAAGUUGACCGGACCUACGAAGAUCCACUAGGUCAGUAUCCAACCCACUAACCUGAAGUACACUAUCUCACAAACCCCCACACAAGUUCCCGUAAUCGGUUUCCUAAAAUCGAUCACCGUAACUCACCGGAAGUCCCGAAAAUCACACCGGGACGCCGUCGGGACCCACUAAGUGUCCCGAAACUCACCGACUCGUACCACGAGUCAUCCGCUGCCACAAAACACACCAAUUUGGAUGUCUUGGCAGCAAACACAAGAUAACACCACUACACAAUUAUCGUCGAAUAAUUGUACGAAUACGGGUUCCCGGAAGCGUCUAUUUCGACACCGGAACCCACCAUCGCUCACCCAUCAUCACGAACCCACAAAAUGAUGAUGGUGACCAGCCAACAAGGCUCAGCGACAAUUCACAGGAUAAACAAACCACGUCGGAAGAAAUCCGAACUGAAACCGCGUUCUUUCAGCGAAUUUCGCCGAAAAACGCACCGAAAUCGACUUUUCGAUUUCCGCGAAAGCUACAGGAUCAUGGACAAUCAGUCCAAAGGUCAAACACACUCAUACACACUGCCCACAGUAGCCACAAGGUGUACAAUUGCACAAAAGCCCCUAUAUUUACAUAAAAUCCAAACAUUUUAUGUAAAUCGGGCGAUAAAAUAGCUCGUUCACGCAAACCGAGGACUUCUAAAUUCAGCCGAGACACAUACUAAUAGGUCUCGAUGUGCCGGAGGCCGUGCUCAUGAUCUGGAGCGCAACGGCUCACUGUGGGAGGUGUAGAAGCAACCCGAAGUUCUGCGAAUAGCGCGCAGUCGGGGAAAAAUCACGUAGAACAGGACUAACCGGACUCUGUUGAUCCAAAGUGAGGUGACCAAUGUGAUCGGUACUGACCAACGAUCACCGUGCUCACCUCCAGAGGCAUUAGGACAGCCUCGGAUCUCUGGAUAAGCGUGCGCAAACCCAAAACAGCAGCCAAAAAGGCUCGACAGGGUCGACACCGCCGAAACAGCGGAAUAGAGUCUCCCCGGCAGAAUCUAAGGUGAGCACGAUGAUCAGCAAUUUGCUACGAUCAUCGUGCUCCCUUUCGCAGAGAUCGGGGAGGCUCGGGUUGCUCGGAAUAGUAAACCAUCCAAAAUAAGCCCUAUUUCGGGCUUGACCGGGGCAAGCUAGCUCCGGCCGGCUUCCGGCGGCACGGCGAGGCGCGCGUGGGCCAGGGAUGGGUGCGGGGGAGGUGAGGAACACGAUGCUCACCUCCGUUGGCGGCGGGGUGCGGCGGCAGCGGCGGCGGAGCAAUACCAAGCCCGCACCAACUAUGGCUCGGGUUCCACAGGCAAUGGCGGCCACAGCGGCGGCCGCGGAGCUCCGGGACGGCGUAGGAGGGUUGCUGGAGGCCGGAGGGGUGCCUCGAGUGCGGCCCCGAGCGGCGGCAGCGCAGGGAAGAAGUCGCGAGCUUGCCUCUGCCCGAUCGGGUCAGGGGCGGCUGCGGCUAGCCGAGGUGGCGACGGCGGCCCGGAGGGGCGGCGGCGAUAGGCGGGGAGGGACGCCGGAGGUCCGGGAAGUCAGUAGGGGGUGGUCCAAGGUGGCGGCGGCGCUCGGGAAAGGCUGCAGGCUUGCCUCGGCCAGGGCUUGGCCCAGCAAGUUGCAGGGUGCAGCAUCGGCGCUAGGGGCAGUUCGGGGCGGCGGCGGCCGGCGAGGAGGGUCGCCGGGGCUCCGGGAAGACGCCGGGGAAGAGACUGGAGGCAAUGCAGCCUCGGCCAAGGCUCCAACCUGAUAAGAAAAGAGAGAGAGAUGGAGAGAGAUGGAGAGGGAGCUACAGGGAGAUGGAACCUCCUUCUCCGACGACCGGCAGCGUGCGCCGGCGGCUGGGGCGUGCGCCGUGCACUCAUGGGAGGGAGUAGAAGGUGGCGAGGUGCGGCUAGUGUUAGGGUUAGGGUUAGGGGAUCAAAAAACCCUAGGAGCUAUAUAUAUACCAAGGUGCAACUUUGCGAGUUAGCCCCCCAAACCUCAGUAUUUAAUACUGAGUCCUUCUCAGCCCGUGUAAAAUGCGCGAACACACUUCCACGUCCAGUUUCACGCGAAACGAUACAUAAAAUAUCGCAACUUUUGCAAAAAUACCGUUUUGCCAUCACCGACCUCUCCUCGAUCGACGCGCAAUCUUCGCAGAUCCGUCCGUCAGAUUUGUGAACGGAUCACACUAGUACGAUCAGCACGACGGGGACAACAAAGCUACGAUUUUGGUUCACCUUGAUCGAUCACGGAUUCGCGACGAAAUCCGCUUUCUCUCCAAAAGGCCAAAAUGACGCACAAAUACAUAUAGAACAUGUAUUUUCAGAUUUUCUCGAAAUCCGUGCGUCAAACCGAAAAUCCGUCAGCGCCAUUUGUUUCAGAAUAGCUGAAUCAUUCGAAACGAGCUAUUGGACUGCUAUGAACGGAGUCUGAUACAAGUCUGAAGCCAACUUCACACCGUGGCUUCUCCGGAAAACCAAGUUACUAUUCACUUUAAGUGAAACUUGGAAAUCGCGUAGAAUCUCCAUUUUAACUCGUUUUCUUUCGAAACUUGAUGAGUGCUUUUGUAAUAAAAUUACACAUAGAAACAUCGUCAACUGAGAGUUUAGCUACACUGCAAAAAUCUCAGUUCUUACAAGCUGGGAGAGUUGGUCAUGGAUCUCCACUCCCUCAUCCUUCUUGGCUCGGUACUGCAUUUGGAGAGAGUCAAGCUCUUAUGACGUGCAGGCUAGAACCUUUUCUGUUUUGGCAAGCUCCUCCUGGGCAACCCUCUGUCGAAGAGCUAGCUCUUCGUCUUUUAAGACGUCGCUCUACUUGUUGAAGUCGAUUAAAGAAACUGCAAACUCGGUGGCCUUCGCCUUACAAGAGCUGACCAAUGAAAAAUGGACAUCCAUGGAUACUCGGCAAAGAUUGCUUGUUAUCAAGAUAGGAAAAAAGAAAAGAAGGCAGACAACACCUCCGUAAAGCAUCACCCCGAAGAGAAUAUGUCAGAUUGAUCUAGGAGGUCGCUAAGAAGAGCCCCAUGCCAAUCAAACUAAGCCGGACUUUGAGCCAAAGUGGAAAGACCACUAUUGUAUAGCUACAAGCAUUCAUCCAAUUUUCUCUUGGUUUUAGCUGAUACAACAAUUGGGAAGUCCUUUUCGUUGGAUAUGAGGCUCGAGACGGUUAGCUCUUGGAGAGAGAUUGCCAAAGCAUUCUCCGAUCCACUAAAAGACAUAGGAUCACCAGUGCUUGCGUAAGAACGGAAGUCGAGGCUUCGAUCGGAGGUUUAUCAGUAGAAGCUAAGCUAUUUCUCUCUCUCAUCCUGAUUUUCUCUUCUUCUUUCCUCUUUUCCUCCUCUUUCCUUCUUUCUCCCUUCCGGUUCUUUUCUUCACGAGCUUCCGUGCGAGCUCGCCUGUCCCAAUGAUGAAUCUUUGCCUUAAGUUUCGAGACAAACUAAGCACUAAAAAUUUCCAUUGCUGGGCUGCCAGUUUGUGUUGUCAGGAUGGUGGAGGUACUUCGACUGGGAAGUGAGGAGGAGAAGGGAAAUAAUCAAAUGGGUCAAUGACCUACCUCGGUCAAUGACGAAGCUUGCUGCAGGCUCUCUUCAGCAGGGAUCGUUUCUGGAGGAGUCCUUGUUGGGGCUGAUUCGGGUCCUUCCUCAGGCGCGCUGGAAGGUGUGGAGAUCGAAGGAGGUUGAGCCGAAGGAACUACACCAGAGAUUGGCUCUUCAACCUUAAAGGGUGGUUAUUCAUUGGCUAAUGUGGGGGCCGGCUGAGAGCGAAGCCUGCUCAAAACCAAUUUUCGCCGUUUCUACUGCAGCAGAGGAGCUGGAGAAGUAGCUUCGAUCGUCCGUUUUUUCGACGGCCAAACUGGGGGAUCGAAAAUACGAAGCGGCUGAGAAGAAUGAAAGAAAAAAAGCCGAAAAAUAUAGUAAAAAGUAGAUGCACCAUAAAAAGUAAAAUAUACUAUUAGAUGGCAAAGGAAAACAUCCGCCUUCUUGUCAGAAUCCUCGCUUGAAUCCUUUUGCUUUGGGGAGUCGGGCAUGACUUCUUUUUCCUUAGAAGUGCUGGCUGAGACGAAAAAUAAAAUGAAUCAAAAAAGUAAGG